GUAUUGGAGAGUUUGAUCCUGGCUCAGGACGAACGCUGGCGGCGUGCCUAAUACAUGCAAGUCGAGCGGACCUGUUUGAAGCUUGCUUCAGACAGGUUAGCGGCGGACGGGUGAGUAACACGUAGGCAACCUGCCCGCAAGACCGGGACAAUACGAACGUAUGAUCUGUUCUGUGGCGUAAUUUUCUCGGUUUUAUGUGUCCGAUCUAUUGACAGAGGUCCAGUUGGGGGCGGAACCCUACGAACGGACAGAUGAGCGUCAAGCAUAUCGAAAUGGUACAUACCCACACCAAUUGAC
rnacentral:rRNA from 1 species